rnacentral:rRNA from 1 species
GACGAACGCUUUCUUCGUGCUUAACACAUGCAAGUCGAACGGAAAGGCCCUGCUUUUGUGGGGUGCUCGAGUGGCGAACGGGUGAGUAACACGUGAGUAACCUGCCCUUGACUUUGGGAUAACUUCAGGAAACUGGGGCUAAUACCGGAUAGGAGCUCCUGCUGCAUGGUGGGGGGUGGAAAGUUUCGGCGGUUGGGGAUGGACUCGCGGCUUAUCAGCUUGUUGGUGGGGUAGUGGCUUACCAAGGCUUUGACGGGUAGCCGGCCUGAGAGGGUGACCGGCCACAUUGGGACUGAGAUACGGCCCAGACUCCUACGGGAGGCAGCAGUGGGGAAUAUUGCACAAUGGGCGGAAGCCUGAUGCAGCAACGCCGCGUGCGGGAUGACGGCCUUCGGGUUGUAAACCGCUUUCGCCUGUGACGACGCGUGAGUGACGGUAAUGGGUAAAGAAGCACCGGCUAACUACGUG